GUUGUUAUCAAUUUUGUGGGCUGAUUCAAAAAGACUUCAAGAUCAUGGGUUUGUCUUGAUGGUUUAAGACUGCUCAGUCAGUGAAUGGGAGCGACAUCUGAUUAGUUCCCUAGUGGAGAAAGGAAUAAGAUUUAAAAGGUUCCCUGAAACAACUAGCAAUUGUCUUGAUUCUCAAUAAACUUCUUUUGUUAUA